rnacentral:rRNA from 1 species
UACGUAGGGCGCAAGCGUUGUCCGGAAUUAAUGGGCGUAAAGAGCUCGUAGGCGGUUUGUCGCGUCUGCUGUGAAAACCUAAGGCUCAACCUUGGGCUUGCAGUGGGUACGGGCAGACUAGAGUGCGGUAGGGGUGACUGGAAUUCCUGGUGUAGCGGUGGAAUGCGCAGAUAUCAGGAGGAACACCGAUGGCGAAGGCAGGUCACUGGGCCGCAACUGACGCUGAGGAGCGAAAGCAUGGGGAGCGAACAGG